rnacentral:lncRNA from 1 species
UAAUUACUCCAGUAGUUAUUUAGACAACUCACAAUUGCCUGAUUUGAGCACACAGUUGGAGGAUGUGCCAAAGGCAGGUGCAUACUUUUUUUUCUUUUUUUAAUUUAACAGUAGCACAAAUCUACAGGUUUAAUUCUUUACAUUGCCCUUUUGCCUCCCAAGAGAAUGCUACUUAUGCAUGUGUUCUUAUAUAAAAUGCAGUGUAUUACAAAGGCAGAAAAUACGUAUUUCCACAUGUUUAUAGUGGACUGGUCACUGUGAUAUAUACAGACUGACUGUAGAUGACUGUAUGAAUUCUAAAUCAAAUGCUGUGCCCUGUAUUGGACUAAAAUACAAUUUCAGUAUCGAGCUGUUAAGUAUUCAAAGCAUAUUUUNAUGGGCAUGGUGGGGAUGGGUCAACAGUUGGACUGGAUCAUCUCAGAGGUCUUUUCCAACAUUAACAAUUCUAUGAUAAAUAUGUAUGUUACAGCUCUUCUGGCAAGUAAAACAAACCCUCCAGUGCUAAGUGGUCCUCUAAAAUAGCUCACAUGCUUUUAGAUCUUAUAAUGAAUGCCCAAGCAGUGUUAAAGCAGCGUCCUUGGCAGCCACAGGCCUCUGUCACCAGGCAGGAAGCACCUGGUCAGCCUGAGUGCCAGCAAACAAAGCUCAGCACAUCAUUUAGAACGUUCCAGCACUGCGCUGGUUUGUGACAUUCACGUCCUCCUUCUAUGAGGAAGUUUCCUGAGUGGUGUGAAUCCAGCCAGCUGCUUCCAGGGAGAGCUGCACUGAACUCAUUUCAAACUACCUCAUUUUAAGCCACUCUGGGUAUGUUUUAUGUACAUAACAGACCCUGGGCAUCCUUAGAGGGCGAAUGGCACCCAAAAAGAAGAAAAAAAAAAAAGAAAAAAAAAGGAAAACUUCCUAAUUUCAAUAAACCCCAGCGCCCCGUUCUGCUGCUGCUGCCUCCGAGGGCUCGCAAGGAGCGGGCGGCAAGGGAGCUGCGCCACUGCCCAUGCCAAAGCCCGACCCGACCCCUUCCUCCUCGUCCUCCUCCGCCCCGCCAGGCUGCCGCCUUCCCGGGUGCCCCUCAGCCCCCCGCUUGCCCCAGUGCCGCGCAGGGAGCGGGGAGCAGGAAGCGAGACCCAGGAGCGGAGAGCAGCAACCACAAUCCAAAGGCUGCCGCGGCCUCACCGCCGCCUUGCGCGCCUGCGCGCAGGGAGAGGAGAAGGGGGGCGGGUGGGAGGCGGUGCUAUCGCGCGUCUCCGCGUGCAGGCAGGGAGCCCUUCCCCUUCCCUUCUCUUCCUUUCCCUUCCCCGGGCCUCCCCCACCGCCUCCCCCUGCCCCGCGUCCCUCGCAGGGCGCCGGGCCGGCGCGGGGGUCUGCGAGCAGCGCAGGGAGGGAGGGAGGGAGGCAGGGAGGGAGCGGGGAGAGAGAGAAAGAGAAAGAGAGAGAGAGAGAGAGAGGCUGAGCCAGAUCUUCAUGCCACUGCAGGCAGCAGCAGCAGCAGCAAAACUUCUGAAGGUUUGCAGAAGAUAGUAAGAGAACCACCAAGAAGGCUGUGGCAGUAUUAUAAAUAUCUUUCACUAUAUGGGGUAGAUGUGUUUUGGUUUGGUUUUCUUCUUUCAUCUGAAAGAGCAUUAGUGCAGUUGCAUGGUUCAACAUUCGUAUAGUAAAUCAUGAAUUUUAGCUUUACUAUUGAACACCACCAGCCUGUUUUGUGAAAGAUUUUCGGUAGUAAGCACACAUGUUUCUUUUCUAUUUUUCAUUUUUUCAUUCUUUUAUCCUUUUAAGCAAAACAUGGGUUCUCAGCUUUUCAUAAUGUAAGUUGCAUUGUGAUAUUUGGGGUUUUACAUUCUCUCCCUUUCUGCUUAUCUCUUUUUUUCUCUGAUUUUAACAAGGCCACCUGACAUUAGGUCAUCGUGAUACCUGGUGUUUUUUUCUGGAGUGGAAACANACUAAAUAAAUGUAUCAAUUUGUCAUAGCUCCACCCACAAAAAAUUCCAUCUGAUUUGUAACUUUUCUCCCAUCAGGCAUGUGUUUCAAAAAUCGCACGAUGGAAUCAGUCACUGACUCUGUGUCCCGGGCAAGGCUUGCACAAGCAGCUGUUGUUCUCCCUCCAGUGACCUGGGCUGGGCAACCUAGCGUCUGCCUCUGUUUUCUUUUCGGUGACCCAAGCCAGAUUUCUUCAAAGCCUAUUGCUGAUACUUUCCCUGCAGCCACUCAUGCUAAUUUCCUUUACAUGCUGCAGCUGGUUUUGAAACAUCUAUUCCGUUUUUCUAGUCUGAGUCACUCUUUCUGUAGAUUUAAAUANGGAAUGGUUUGGGUUGGAAGGGGCCUUUAAGAUCAUCUAGUUCCAACCCAUGUCAGGUGUCCACCAGGAUGCCCAGGUCCUUUUCCGCAAAGCUGCUUUCUAGCCGCUUGGCUUCGGGGUUGUUCUUACUCAGGGGUAGAACUUUGCACUUACCUUUGAACUUCAUGAAAUUCCUGCUGGCUUGUUUCUGCAGCCUGUCAAGGUGCUCUUGAAUAGCAGCACAAACAUCUUCUGUAUCAACAGUUCCUCCCAGCUUUGUAUUAUGUGCAAACUUACUGAGACUGAAUUGUCAUCCAAGUCAUUAAUGAAGUUUUUACACAGUACUGGUUGCAGUACUAACCCUUGGAGCACGCUGCUGGUGGCACCUGGACUUCAUGCCACCAGUUACAACCUCCUGAGCCCAACAGUUUGGCCAGCUGUUUAGCCUUUACUUCAUCAGUGUUAAAAGCUUUACUUGAGGUAAACAGUAUACAGUGCUCUCCAUUGUCCCCAGACCUGGUCAUUUUGUUGUAGGUAGAGGAAUAUCAGUUUAGAUAUGACUUGCCCUUCAUAAGUCGGUGUUUACCUGGUAAGCAUGAUCACUUGCAUAAGGGAUUGUUCCAGUAAGAAACAAAGUUGUUAAAUAUAAGAUGAAACUGUUCCUUUUCAAAAGGAAGAAGAGGUACAAUAUAUGGAAUAGGUUAGAAAAACAGUUUUCUAAUAUUAGGAAUUAGUAAUUGUCCUGAUAAUGUAGAGGGGAUUGGGGUAGAGAUUUUGUUUCAACACAAGUAUUGUAUAUGAAACAAGAGAUUAGCAGAUAUUUUGCUAAAAAGCUUAGAAAAUUGCAACUAAAUAUUUUUCAUUUGUUCAUGCAUUAUUAACAGUUCUUCUGUGAAAACAUGAUCAUCCUCAGUAUAUCUUUUUGACAAGCUAUUCCACAAAAAUUUCUACUAACAGAUGAUUAAAUGUAUGGAAGAAAGAGUAGGGGAGAAAGGGAUAACAUGAAAGAAUUGCUAAAAAUUUUCUGAUGCAAGGUUUCACUUUUGUCACUGAUUAUUUUCUAAGUCUUUCUCAGUCUUCUGUCUUCAGUUUUACUUUUUAAAUAUAUUGUUGGUGUUAGAACUACAACUGAAGUUUUGUGAUGGCUUUUUUUUUAGGAACUUUAGAGUAGAACUGUUAGAGCAUGCUGGAGUCCUCGUAUUUGGUAGUAUGUGGAGCUUCAGAAGGUGAAGAGAGCAGCGCAAUGGAGAUGCAUAGUAGAACAUCAGAGAACAAAGCUUUCUUGCAUUGUUCUCAAGUAGAUAAUGCGCCCAUGAUCUUAAUAACUUAAGAACAGCAGAAACACAGCAGAAGUGCAUUCCGUUCAUUCUGAGAGCGCUACUUGUUCUUUAUGGUUGUGUCUACUAACCUGUUAGCUGAAAUGUUUAGCAGUUAGAUUGGUGAUUGAGUGAGAACUCAGCCAUUUGUUGUGCUGAUUACAAGAGUAGCUUACUCCAUGAGUCUGAGCAUUUCCUUACAUAGAGCAUGAUUUUUCACUGAACAGUUGUGUGUUUUAUUUGUCGUAUAUGAGGGCUGCUCUGGAAGUAAUGCCUCCUAUUUUAUUAUGUUGGUCCACAAUGUCAGAGGUGGAUGUUGGUGGUUUAGCAGUAGAAUCUGAGCCUUCCCAAAAAUAUUCCAUUACAACUCCUCCAAUGCAUUUUUUGGUGACCAGCUGUCACUCUGAAGCAAUUUUGCAUGGGUGUGAACAAACUCGGGAAAUUAAGUCAGGGCACACAGUUGUUUGUUUUUAAACCUAGAAAGAAACCAAUACAGCAGUAAAACUUUGUUAUACUCAUACUAAGGAAAAUUUUGUCCAAGUCUAUUUUUUGUCUGAGUGAAAAAGUCCAUGUGCUUGUUCAAAAAAGAUUCUAUAGUAAGUUGACUUCAAAAGGUAAAUGACAAUUAUGUACAGCUUUCUGGAUCCUUUUAUUUAUAGGACUUAUAUCGAGAGUGUACAAGCAACUGGCAGAAUACUUUGUAAUUUUAUUUAUUUGUACACAGUAAGUACUUCCUUAUGAAUCUAAGUAACUGACACUAAGGCCAAAUGCAUUUGGCUCAGUGAUUGAUUGCAGAGAUCAAGUGUAUUUUUAUCUUUGGUAGCUUUCCUGAGAUAUGCUCCGUCUGCUGAGUUCUAAGUUCUCUCAAUUCUUUCUUGGCCCAACUGCUGGGGAAUGCCUAAAUACCUUCCUUAUGAUUUUGUUUAUCCAGCUUGUGUUUUAUUUACAUAGAAGCAUCAUCCUCUGAAAAUUUUUAGGAGAUUGAGUUCAUCUCAUUCUUGCUUGCUUGCAGCAGAUAAUGCGUGUGAAGAUAGGACAUACCCUGCUGUACAGUAGAAAUGGAAUACAGGUGUUUGCAGUCACACUAAAAAGAAGAAUUGAUAUUUGAGAAAAACAUACAAUAAUUAAUUGUUUUCAAAUAAAUCAUCUUCAGUUUCCUGUAUUUGUAAAAAUUUUGCACACUGUUAAAAGUAGUUUGCAAAUAUAUUUGUGAUUUGUAUGUCAGCUAUUUUGGACUUGUAGUUCAUUCUGUACUUUUCACUAUAUUGAGAUUAAUGAUGAGAAAAAGAGUAAGGCAUUUUUGUUAUGGCCAAUUUAUUUCAUUUCAGACUGUAUUAUCAUUUGGUGAAAGCCCUAUUGAUUAGCCUUCAUAGCUUUACAGAGCUUUUCUUCUAAGCACUUAAAGUUUGAGUUGUCUCAGUCCCAUAGGACUGAAAGAAAGCUGUUAGUACCAUGAAAUUCUUCUUCUGUGUGUUUCCAGCAGCUNUCAGAAUUGUAUGAGUUGAUCUUAAAAUAUGCUGCAGCUGAGUGAUGAUGAAGAGAUAAAUAAUUGAUAAACUUUUAGUUACUGUUAGAGCAGAGUAGAGUUUUCCAGCUAACGGAAGAGGUGGUAGUGUUUUUUCUGAGAAUGCUGCCAAGUACCGUGUUAGCAUCAACAGAGUGUAAGAGUGUUGCUAAGCUACAGAGUAGAUUGGCCAAUUGUUGAUUUAAAAAAAGAAAAAAGUUCUCUUCACCUAUCCAGUCUCUUCUUAUCAGCCAGCUGUUUGUCUGAGCUGUUUUCCUCCAAGUCCUUCAAAAUGCUGACCUGAUAACAAGCAUCAGUUGGAACACUGUAUUUGUAUAAUGGUACUCCUAUGUCUGUGUCACUGACCAGCUCACAGAACAGCCACANAUUACCGUUCUUUUUGAGUUGAAAUCUACUUCAUUAUAGAAUAGUGUAGGCUGCUAACUGGAACCUGGCUGCAGUUAUCUCUUUGCACUUCACUCUUGGCUGAAUAUUAACAUUGUAGAUAUUUCAGACUUAUUUUCUAUUUCAUAAUAGAAUUCAGACUGAUUAAUAUAAUGUACAUCUGGAAAAACAUAAAUAUGCUCUUUGACCUUGUCUUCUCUUGAUGAAGAUGUGUAUAAUGAGGUGUAACUUUGUUAAGAUUCUGUAUUGUUACUUACCCAUUGUAGAUGUGUUUUGCAGGAAAGAGACACAAGACGUGGGCAUUUGGUUUCUAAUUUCUGCAUUCAGUUUGCCUGUAUCAUCGAAUUAUAGAAUGGUUUGGGUUGGAAGGGACANUCUGUUGCUGAUUUCUGUGUAACUCCAGAGAUAUAUAAAUAUCUGCUGGAUGCAGUUGACUUGAGGAAAAAACUUCAUAGCUUCUGAUAAAUCAAAUUACUGAAUCACAGAAUAGUUGAGGUCAGAAGGCACCUCUGGAGAUCAUAUGGUCCAGCCUCUCUGCUCAAAGCAGGAACGGCUGUAGUGGAUAGUCCAACAUUGUCUAGUUGAAUUUUGAAUAUCUAAAAAAGGAGACAGUGUGGGCAACCUGUUCCAAUUCUUUAAUUAUCCUCACUGUAAAGUAAGUUUUUCAUAGUAAUAUAAAAAAAAUCCUAUUUCAGUAUACUGAUUAUAAGUUGUGUGUUCACUUGAGAGCAUGGAGAAGAAUCGGGUUCUAUCUUCUUCAUUCCUUCCUGUCUGCAAUUUCAGUCCUUGCAUCUCUUGUACUGGGGAGAACAGAAUUGCAUGCAAUACCCCAGAAGCAAAUCACCAGUGCUAUAUAAAAGGCAGUAGUCACAUCCCUCAGCUUUCUUGCAGUGCUCUUUUGUGUUAAAGGCCAGGUUACUGUUGACAUUCUUUGCUGCAAGGAAUGGUUUGGGUUGGAAGGGGCCUUUAAGAUCAUCNCAUCUUUCUAAAACUUUUUAGCUCCAGGAUAAAAUAGGCUGUGUUACAGGU